rnacentral:lncRNA from 1 species
GUGGAAAUCUGUUCUGUAGGAAUUGGUUCAAAACUACGUGAGAAGUGCACCGCAAACUUUUGUGGUGAACAAAAAAAAAAAAAAUCUUACUCUGAUUUUCAGACACUCUGAUCUGCAAACAAGGCUAUGGAUGAAGCACCAGAGGUGAAGCCCGUCGGCUUCUCAUUAAAACCGAUGUUACCACUUCAUCCGCAUUACCCCUGGUAUACGGCUGGCAUUCCACAGAGGCUUUGGGGGUACCCGAGUGCUUGCAGGGUCCACGUUCAGAAGAAGGAAGAGAAACCCUUUGUCCAAAGCUGGACAGGAGCUCUCCUCACUGUUAAUGGAGCAGACAGCCUGUCUCUCCCUAAGGAACAGAGGUGUUCACGUGGGUGCGGUGUAACCUGA